CUGUUCAUAUUUUAAUCUAAUGAAUAGUUACCUGCUAGCUAGCGACACGUUUUCCCGGCUUUCCCUCAGAUUCUUCGAUGCAACUACUCCAUCCCAGCUGAAGCAAAUCUGCUCAUCUUAUUCCAUUCUUUCAUCUCAACUACCCUCAUUUGCUUCUUAAUGGCGUCCAAAAAUUUUAGGGCUCUGCUUUCUUUUCUAACUACUUACUCCAUUUACAUUUAGGAUUUCAACGUGUAUAUUUUGGUUUUCAUUUUCUCGCUUUGUAAGCUGAUCAACAGGUCUUUAUUUCAAUUGUUUACAUUUAGGGUUUCGACGUGUAUAUUUUGUUGAUUUUAACAGGUCUUUAUUUCAAUUUAAAAGGUUAGUUCAUCCUUAUUUCUUGAAAAAAAUCAGGUAUUUAAUUGAUUUCUUCAAUUUGUUUUAGCGUUGAUUUCUAUACAAAGAAAUACAGUUAAGUUAUUCAGUUCUUGGCUGAGUUGUUCAUUUUCAUUUGCAUUUCAGAACUCAAGUAAAUUGUUGAUUUUCUUUUAAUUUUUUCGAUUUCGCAGGUUUUGCUGUGAAUCCAAGAGAUUAGUUCAUUUGCUUUUGAAUAAGGGUUAAUGAUGCUUGCUUAAUACUUGUUCCUGCCAGAAGGAAGAAAAUGGGUUCUGCUUGUGAAAUUAUUGAGCGAAAUCAGGUAAUGACGAUCAAAUUGGUCCUUCAUGCUAAGGUUGGAGUAUACUGAUGAAAAUGUCAAGGUGUUUGGAGAAUUUCUACACUUGAUGUUAUGGUCUUCAUUGCAGCAAACAUCCUUCUAUAUAUCGCAUCUGCAUAAAUUUUAGCUCUUUCUCUCCUAUUUUGCCUCUAAAAUUCAUUCCACCGUUGUUAAUCUUCAUAAAGGUCUCAAUUACAAAGAUGAUUGCCUAAUUUAUUUUUAAAGAAUCACUGUUAUGGUCUCUGAUUUGUUCAUCAUGUUAUAUAUUGAAUAUUUUACUUGACAUUUGGAUUCAACUAAGAGGAGAUUGAUAUGGUUUUUGGUUGCCUGCAUUGAUGAUUGUUGAUCAUAUGCAUUUUCAGUAUAAUGAGUUUUUGUAGGUUUGUUAUGUUUUAAGCAUUUGUUUGCUGUUGUUGCGCUUAUUUAUUUCGUGUAUUUGUUGCAGCAUUAUUGUAGAGGAGGGUUAAUUAAGGGUUUUUGGAAGGCUGAAAUGUGAGUUUCAGUUUGCUUUAUUUUGUGAUUUAGAGUGAUUUUUAGAUCAUAAUAUAUUGUUCCUUCUGAAUUAGAUGAUUUGGUGUGAGUUAAUUGCUUUUGUAAUCCUGUUGCUUGUUAAGAUUCCAUUAUUUUCUCUGUAUUUGUUUCUGCUAGGCAUGAACCUCAUGUUGUUGAGUGUUGGCAACUUAACCUUCCAACAAAUUGGUUUUGUGCUCUUCCUUAUGUGGAUUUUUUGAUGCUGGGAUGUACAAGCAAGAAACAUACUACUUGAUGAUAAAUUCAAAGUAAAACUUGGCAGCCUAAGUGAGGUCUAUGUACAAGGAGAUACACAAUGAAGAGUCAUUACAAUAUUGUUGUGGUUGCCACAGGUUUGUGAUUUUAUUUGCUGACGAUACAACGGUUGUGCUCCAUCAUCAAUUGUUCCAAGGCAAAUAUGGAAACAUGACGAUACAACGGUCUGAGAAAAUUAAGUCGCGACGUCCUUGAAAUGGAAUUUUUAGAUUCCUCAGAGCUUGUCUUAUCCUUGACUGCUGAUUCAUUAUUUGUGCGGGUGCCCUUUUAAAUAACGUAUCAAAUGAGCUAUUACCGCUGCCCAAGUAGUACUUGAAGGAAGAGUGUUGGCUUUCAACUCUACUGGUAGUCUGGUUACCCAAGUGCAAACAAUUAUUCGUCCACGCAUGCACAAAUUUCUCUUUGUGAGGAAUCCAUGUUCCGGCCAAGUAUCACACGACCCUCCUGUUCCUAAUCGACCAAGUAGAGACAAUCCCUUCCCAUUUGUUUUCAAAUUUAGGGAUCGUCACACUGUUUACUAAGGGGUUUCAUUUUGUUUGUCUGAAUAUCUGCCCCUGUUGAUUUUUCUUGGCGCCGCACAAUUUAUCGAUCAUGACCACGUCAUUGCUUAUAUGCCAUACGCAUAAUAAAUGUCGUACAUCUGCAUUAAACAUAAAUUUAAAACUAAUUGAGACAUAUAUACAUAGGUUGACAAUAAUUAAUAAUAAAAACUUGUUCACCUGGAAA